CGCACGGGUGAGUAACACGCAUCCAACCUGCCGUCUACUCUUGGACAGCCUUCUGAAAGGAAGAUUAAUACAAGAUGGCAUCAUGAGUUCACAUGUUCACAUGAUUAAAGGUAUUCCGGUAGACGAUGGGGAUGCGUUCCAUUAGAUAGUAGGCGGGGUAACGGCCCACCUAGUCUUCGAUGGAUAGGGGUUCUGAGAGGAAGGUCCCCCACAUUGGAACUGAGACACGGUCCAAACUCCUACGGAAGGCAGCAG
rnacentral:rRNA from 1 species